rnacentral:tRNA from 1 species
CCUGGUGGCUCAGAGGUUAAAGCGUCUGGCUGCAAUGCAGGAGACCCAGGUUCAAUCCCUGGGUCAGGA